GAUGAACGCUGGCGGCGUGCCUAAUACAUGCAAGUCGAGCGAACAGACGAGGAGCCUGCUCCUCUGACGUUAGCGGCGGACGGGUGAGUAACACGUGGAUAACCUACCUAUAAGACUGGGAUAACUUCGGGAAACCGGAGCUAAUACCGGAUAAUAUAUUGAACCGCAUGGUUCAUUAGUGAAAGACGGUUUUGCUGUCACUUAUAGAUGGAUCCGCGCCGCAUUAGCUAGUUGGUAAGGUAACGGCUUACCAAGGCAACGAUGCGUAGCCGACCUGAGAGGGGGAUCGGCCACACUGGAACUGAGACACGGUCCAGACUCCUACGGGAGGCAGCAGUAGGGAAUCUUCCGCAAAGGGCGAAAGCCUGACGGAGCAACGCCGCGUGAGUGAUGAAGGUCUUCGGAUCGUAAAACUCUGUUAUUAGGGAAGAACAAAUGUGUAAGUAACUAUGCACGUCUUGACGGUACCUAAUCAGAAAGCCACGGCUAACUACGUG
rnacentral:rRNA from 1 species